AGAAUCAACGCUGGCGGCGUGCCUAACACAUGCAAGUCGCACGAGAAAGUGGAGCAAUCCAUGAGUACAGUGGCGCACGGGUGAGUAACACGUGAAUAAUCUACCUCCGAGUGGGGAAUAACUUCGGGAAACCGAGGCUAAUACCGCAUAACACUUACGAGUCAAAGCAGCAAUGCGCUUGGAGAGGAGUUCGCGGCAGAUUAGCUAGUUGGUGGGGUAAUGGCCCACCAAGGCGAUGAUCUGUA
rnacentral:rRNA from 1 species